UCACUCUGGUGUGUGUAUACACGAUCAAACAAGGCCUCAGGAGCCAUCCACUUGACUGGCAGGCGGCCCUAGAGGAAGAAGGUGGGGAUAAUAGUGUUUAGUUGCACAGGGCCUAUACCUUCCAUACCAGGCCCAGCCCCCACCUCAUUCCCAUGUAUCUGUGCCCUGCCCCUCACAUUGCUGGUUUUCUUAUAGUAGUCAAUAUGGUGGACGCCACGGGCCAGCCCGAAGUCAGCGAUCUUCAUCACAUCGUCCUCAGUCACCAGUACAUUUCGGGCAGCCAGGUCCCGGUGGAUGCACUAAGAAGAGGGCAGGGGACUUCGGUAUAUCAAGACACAUGUCUGGGAGCCGUGGUCAUCAUUUCACACGUGGAGCUCAGCCUCAAAGUGAGGUGCUGACGCCUGUGACGCCUACCAGUCUAUGCUUCUUCCGACUUUACAGAAGGAGACACCAAUCCGGAGGCUGCACUUGGAGACUAGCUUGAACUCUAAGGAUCUGGUGUGACACCCUUCUGUGAAGACCAGGUUGCCCUCCAUAUUGCAAUGAUCCCCUUGACUUUGUUUCCAAACUGUUGGGAUUGCAGGCGUGCCUACGGCCAGAGGACCCUGAAUUCACCUGAUUGCAGAAACUGCAUGGGGCCAGGCCUGGUUUGUACUUGGGUGGGAGAUUACCGGUGAGAGCCAUCAGGCCAGGCCCCAGUGAAUUUUCAAGUAGUUUCUCCCAUCUUUCAUGUGAUAGUUUUGGCACAGCGUGGUGGUCUGGCCACGUGUGCAGACCCCACUCACCUUUUGCCAGCUCUUGGUCUCAGUUCGUGCCCUGGAGCAGCCCAGUGGACUUAGCAAGGUCCCUUUUUUAGGAUGAGGAGAUAAAUGGGCCCCAAGUUUCAGUACUAUCACUCCUGGCCCUGUCUUCAUUUUCUCUUGAGCAAAUCAGUACAUGAUAGUGUGGCCCUUAAGAUACCCGCAAAAGUGGGGAUUCACAUGUUCCUAUGUGACCUAUGGUCUCUUCCAAUCAGUAUUUCUUCACCGCACUCUCAAGGUUGUAGCUGAAUGGCUGCUUGUGUAAGCAGUUGGGAAAUGUUACACUCCUGGGAGAUGAGACCUGGAACUGCACCCCUCACCUUUGUACCUCAAGUGCCCGGCACACGGUCGGUGUCUUCAGAGAGCAUCAUCCCCACCUGGCCCAGGU